AUUGAACGCUGGCGGAAUGCUUUACACAUGCAAGUCGAACGGUAGAGGGGGCAACCUCUCGAGAGUGGCGAACGGGUGAGUAAUAUAUCGGAACGUGCCCAGUCGUGGGGGAUAACGUAGCGAAAGUUACGCUAAUACCGCAUACGAUCUAAGGAUGAAAGUGGGGGAUCGCAAGACCUCGCGCGAUUGGAGCGGCCGAUAUCAGAUUAGGUAGUUGGUGGGGUAAAGGCUCACCAAGCCAACGAUCUGUAGCUGGUCUGAGAGGACGACCAGCCACACUGGAACUGAGACACGGUCCAGACUCCUACGGGAGGCAGCAGUGGGGAAUUUUGGACAAUGGACGCAAGUCUGAUCCAGCCAUUCCGCGUGCAGGAUGAAGGCCCUCGGGUUGUAAACUGCUUUUGUACGGAACGAAAAGGUCUCUCUUAAUACGGGGGACUCAUGACGGUACCGUAAGAAUAAGCACCGGCUAACUACGUGCCAGCCGCCGCGGUAAGAC
rnacentral:rRNA from 1 species